CCUACUUUAAGUCAACCGGCCGUUUCGACAAAUUUCCAGUGCCAUUUAUGUCUCAAAUCAUUUCAAAGUUCCCGCGGUCUCAAUAUCCAUUUUUCCAAAACGCACAGAAACUGUUUAUCACAAAAUGCUGCUACAGCUUCGAAUUUUUCGACCCCGCCGCUCUCUAAUGACGCCCCGUCCCCGUCUCGUCCGAAUCUGCAUCUCUACCUUAGUUACCUCAAAAAUAGCUUUCCAGUUGCAAAAAGAAUUCCUCGCGGUGCUAGGAUAUGCGUUGCCACACGCCUGUCCUAUUUAAUUGACCAAUGCGUGACGGUUAACGACAUGGAUACAUGGAGCAAUCUCCUUACCUUUGUGUACAACACUCUGCAUGUCACCUCUGAGGACAAACAGCUAUCCCUAACUCAAAAAAUCAAAAAUAACUGUGUUAAGCCUUUAGAAUUGCCAUUCGACAAAACAGCACGAGUAGGUUACAAGCUUUCUGCCUUCAACCUAGCAAAAACAGUAGAAAAUAAGAUUACGGACGGAGACUUGAAAGGCGCCGCUCGUAUUUUGUUUUCUAGUGACGUUUUAUCACCAGAUUCUACCGAAACCCUGUCAGCCUUGCGGUCAAAGCAUCCCUCAGCCUCUACUGCUCCGUUUUUCUUGGAUCCACCAACUGCGAUCGAAGAAUGCCUCCAAAUCGAAGAUAAGGAUAUAGUCGACGCAAUUUUCAAUUUCAAAACCGGCUCAGCGGGAGGUCUCGACGGAAUCUCACCACAACACCUUAAAGAUCUUAUAGCGCACUGUGUUGGCGAUGCCGGCAGAAAACUCAUUACAUCUUUAACCAACAUGAUAAAUCUUAUGUUGAGUGGCCGUGUACAUGCAGAUAUUGUCCCCAUUCUCUACGGAGCCAAUUUAAUUGCUCUAACGAAAAAGGACGGUGGCGUGAGACCAAUCGCAGUUGGAUCGACGUUUAGACGUUUGGCAUCUAAAAUCUCUGUUCGACACAUUAUUUCAAAAUUACAGCAUAGGUUUGAACCAGUCCAACUUGGUUGUGGUACAAAAGGUGGUUGCGAGGCGGCUGUUCACGCGCUUCGCACAUACCUCAGCAACGACCAAUGCCAAGUUGUAUUAAAGAUUGACAUAAAAAACGCAUUUAACUCUGUGAAUAGAGACACCCUGCUGUCGGAAAUCAGGAAUAACACCCCAGAGCUUUAUAAUUACCUUCUUCAUUGCUACGCUGAUCCUUCCAAAUUAAUGUACCGCAGUCAUGAAAUUUCUUCAGAGGUUGGAUGCCAGCAGGGGGAUCCCUUGGGGCCAGCUAUUUUUUGUUUAGCAAUCAACCCCAUCAUUCAAAAUUUAUCUUCUGAUUUUAAUGUCUGGUACUUGGACGAUGGAACCUUAGGAGGCAAGUUGGAAACAGUCCUUUCGGAUCUCUCCGUCCUCAAGUCCAAGUUCGAGUCCAUAGGUCUAGAUCUGAACUGUAAUAAAUGUGAACUUUACAUUCACGAUGCGUUUCUAAACCAUUCGGACGUAACAGAGAAAUUCAAUGCUUUAACACCUAAUGUUACCACUGUCACGAGAGAUUCCCUUAGCCUACUGGGGACUCCAAUUUUUGACAAUUAUUUUUCAACUUUUAUCAGUAACUCCGUUUCUAAAUUUCAAAAUUACGCCGACCGUCUUCUAGAAAUAAGCCCCCAUUCAGCCCUCACCAUUCUUAAAUUUUGCCUUUUUGUUCCAAAGUUAAUGUAUGUGCUUCGCUGCAGUCCUUUCUGGAAACAUCAAAAUUUGCUCCUACCUAUAGACAUCAUGGUCCAGACUACCUUAGAGCGUAUUCUCAAUUUAAAGCUAUCCGAUCAAUCGUGGUCGCAAGCAUCGCUACCUGUUCGAUAUGGCGGGCUGGGGUUGCGCAGAAUUUCUAGCGUAUCACUGCCGGCAUUUCUAUCGUCUGUCCACAGCUCUGCUGAUCUUGUAGGAAAAAUCCUAAGGGUUUUACCCACAAACUAUGAGGUCACAGGCUUGGACGAUGCUAGAAAUGCCUGGCUGUCUGCCUGCCCGGGACAAGACCCUCCAUAUAAUCUAAAAUCACAGAGGAGCUGGGAUGACGCCUUAUCGAAAUUAACUUAUACCACAUGUUUAGAUAACAGCGAAGGAGCUGAACGCGCCCGUUUGAUCGCAGUUGGGUGUAGGGAGGCUGGCCACUGGCUCAACGCAUAUCCCUCGCCCAAUACUGGCACUCAUUUAGAUGGAAACACCCUCCGUGUGGCAGUUGGGCUGCGCCUGGGGGUUCCAAUCUGUGCACCGCAUAAAUGCCACUGUGGGAGUGAUGUGGACCAGCUGGGGCGUCAUGGUCUGUCUUGCCAGCGAAGCGCGGGGCGAUUGUCACGUCACGCCGCGCUCAAUGACAUUAUCCGUCGGUCUCUUGUCACCGUCAACGUGCCAGCGAUACUCGAGCCGACCGGUAUGGCCCGGGACGAUGGCAAGAGACCGGAUGGUAUUGUGGGACGCGACCUGUGUGGACACACUGGCACCGUCUCACCUUCACGGUAC